rnacentral:rRNA from 1 species
UACGUAGGGUGCGAGCGUUGUCCGGAAUUAUUGGGCGUAAAGCGCGCGCAGGCGGUUUCUUAAGUCUGAUGUGAAAGCCCUCGGCUUAACCGAGGAGGGUCAUUGGAAACUGGGAGACUUGAGUGCAGAAGAGGAAAGUGGAAUUCCAAGUGUAGCGGUGAAAUGCGUAGAGAUUUGGAGGAACACCAGUGGCGAAGGCGACUUUCUGGUCUGUAACUGACGCUGAGGCGCGAAAGCGUGGGGAGCAAACAGG